rnacentral:rRNA from 1 species
GACAGAGACGGCGAGCGUUGCCCGGAUUCAUUGGGCGUAAAGGGCGCCUAGGCGGUCGUGCGUGCCAUCGGUGAAAUUUCUCCGCUCAACGGGGAAACGCCCGGUGUGACUGCACGGCUGGAGGGCGGGAGAGGGAAGUGGAACGACUAGAGUAGCGGUGAAAUGCGCAGAUACUAGUCGGUACCUCAAUAGCGAAGGCAACUUCCUGGCCCGUUCCUGACGCUGACGCGCGAAAGCGUGGGGAGCAAACCGG